rnacentral:rRNA from 1 species
GACAGAGGUGGCAAGCGUUGUUCGGAAUUACUGGGCGUAAAGAGUCUGUAGGUGGUUUGUCAAGUCUUUGGUGAAAGGCCGUAGCUUAACUAUGGGAAUGCCAAAGAGGCUGGCAGGCUGGAGGCUGGGAGAGGGAAGCGGAAUUUCUGGUGUAGCGGUGAAAUGCGUAGAUAUCAGAAGGAAGGCCGGUGGCGAAGGCGGCUUCCUGGAACAGUCCUGACACUGAGAGACGAAAGCGUGGGGAGCAAACAGGAUUAGAUACCCUGGUAGUCCACGCCCUAAACGAUGGGUACUAAGUGUGGAGGGGUUAAACCCUCCGUGCCGCAGCAAACGCAGUAAGUACCCCCGCCUGGGGAGUACGGCCGCAAGGUUGAAACUCAA